rnacentral:rRNA from 1 species
ACGCUGGCGGCAGGCCUAACACAUGCAAGUCGAGCGGUAGAGAGAAGCUUGCUUCUCUUGAGAGCGGCGGACGGGUGAGUAAUGCCUAGGAAUCUGCCUGGUAGUGGGGGAUAACGUUCGGAAACGGACGCUAAUACCGCAUACGUCCUACGGGAGAAAGCAGGGGACCUUCGGGCCUUGCGCUAUCAGAUGAGCCUAGGUCGGAUUAGCUAGUUGGUGGGGUAAUGGCUCACCAAGGCGACGAUCCGUAACUGGUCUGAGAGGAUGAUCAGUCACACUGGAACUGAGACACGGCCCAGACUCCUACGGGAGGCAGCAGUGGGGAAUAUUGGACAAUGGGCGAAAGCCUGAUCCAGCCAUGCCGCGUGUGUGAAGAAGGUCUUCGGAUUGUAAAGCACUUUAAGUUGGGAGGAAGGGCAGUAAAUUAAUACUUUGCUGUUUUGACGUUACCGACAGAAUAAGCACCGGCUAACUCUGUGCCAGCAGCCGCGGUAAUACAGAGGGUGCAAGCGUUGAUCGGAAUUACUGGGCGUAAAGCGCGCGUAAGUGGUUCGUUAAGUUGGAUGU